UGCAGUCGAACGGGAUCCAGAUCAAAGCUUGCUUUGGUUUGGUGAGAGUGGCGCACGGGUGCGUAACGCGUGAGCAACCUACCCUUGUCAGGGGGAUAGCCCGGCGAAAGUCGGAUUAAUACCGCAUGACAUCAUUGAGAGGCAUCUUUCUAUGAUCAAAGAUUUAUCGGGCAAGGAUGGGCUCGCGUGACAUUAGCUAGUUGGUAAGGUAACGGCUUACCAAGGCUACGAUGUCUAGGGGCUCUGAGAGGAGAAUCCCCCACACUGGUACUGAGACACGGACCAGACUCCUACGGGAGGCAGCAGUAAGGAAUAUUGGUCAAUGGACGGAAGUCUGAACCAGCCAUGCCGCGUGCAGGAAGACGGCCCUAUGGGUUGUAAACUGCUUUUAUACGGGAACAAACGUCGGUACGUGUACCGGUCUGAGUGUACCGUAAGAAUAAGGAUCGGCUAACUCCGUGCCAGCAGCCGCGGUAAUACGGAGGAUCCGAGCGUUAUCCGGAAUUAUUGGGUUUAAAGGGUGCGUAGGCGGCCAGAUAAGUCAGGGGUGAAAGUCGGCAGCUCAACUGUCGCAGUGCCUUUGAUACUGUUUGGCUUGAAUUCGGUUGAAGAUGGCGGAAUGAGACAAGUAGCGGUGAAAUGCAUAGAUAUGUCUCAGAACACCGAUUGCGAAGGCAGUUAUCUAAGCCGUUAUUGACGCUGAUGCACGAAAGCGU
rnacentral:rRNA from 1 species